rnacentral:snRNA from 1 species
GGGUGUGAGGGCGAUUUGCUGUGACAUUUGUCACCCCACUGAUCACCAGCGUUGAUUCGGCUGACCUGGUUGGGUAGGUGGGUGUCCUCUUCCUUCCUCAGUGCUCCAUGUGUGUCCCUCCCAAAGCCGCAUGCUCGGCCAAAGAGGACGACUACUCCUGACAGAGGAAGACCGUUCCUCGGUCAAGGGUAUACACAUAGCUACGCUUCCCUGCUAGAACCUCCAAACUAGCUCUCAAAAAGGCACAAUGGAGCAUUAUUUGCCAUAGUUGGAGGCUCUUCUGAUGCCUACCACUGCAAAAAGAAAUCAGUAAGUACAGUAGAUGUACAAUUU